CCCAGUCAAGAAUGUCACUUUCUAACAGGCCCAGGGACCCCAUGUUCUUGGGACCCCAAGAAGAAAGGAGUUUACCCAACUCACAGGCCAUCAAACUUCAAACGAUCAUGCAACAGGAGCCUCAGACGAUGGACCCUUUUGUCAGCAAGCCUUAGCUAGGCCUCUGAGGGAGAUGUGACCGCUGCUUUCCCAAAUCAGCGCCCCCUGUCAGCAGGAAGCAGUUAAGAUCAGUCUUCAUCCUAAUCCUUAUCCUUAUAAUAACGGCAUUAGAUGGGCUUUGUUAGAGGAGGGAAUGAUAGAUGCAGGAGGCAGAUGAGGGAAGGUCGCUGGAAAAUCUCCAACCUGCCCGACAAGUGUUUACAUCAAAUGCUUUUGUGCAGAUGAGAGAACCUGCCCAGGGUCUUGUCUGCGCAUGCCUGCAAUGGACUGGGGACCCGCCUGGGAGAAUGGGGAAAUUUGUGCCUUGUGCAGUGGGGAGGAGCCCUGGCCUCUUCACUUUGUGUGUGGUGGCCUGAUAAUUAAUCUGCGAGGUGGCAGCCUAUUGGGGGACCCCUUUUCACUUUGCUAAGGGUUUUUGUUUUCCUUUUCGCCCAAUAAAUUCCACUGUCC
rnacentral:lncRNA from 1 species